CAUUCUCAAUAAANUACUUCC
rnacentral:tRNA from 1 species